rnacentral:tRNA from 1 species
GGAUAGCUCAGCUGACAGAGCAUGAGACUCUUAAUUUCAGGGUUGUGGGUUCGAAUCCCAUGUUGGGCA